AGUGAACGCUGGCGGCGUGCUUAACACAUGCAAGCCGAGCGAGAACGGAAUAUAGCUUGCUAUAUUUGUCAGCUAAGUGGCGCACGGGUGAGUAAUGUAUAGAUAACCUGCCCUUAAGAAAGGAAUAACAGUUGGAAACGACUGCUAAUGCCCUAUAUGCCUUUAAUACAUAAGUAUGCAAGGGAAACGCUUUAGUGCUUAAGGAUGGGUCUGUAUGGUAUCAGCUUGUUGGUGAGGUAAUGGCUCACCAAGGCUAUGACGCCUAACUGGUUUGAGAGGAUGAUCAGUCACACUGGAGCUGAGACACGGUCCAGACUCCUACGGGAGGCAGCAGUGGGGAAUAUUGCACAAUGGACGAAAGUCUGAUGCAGCAACGCCGCGUGGAGGAUGACACAUUUCGGUGCGUAAACUCCUUUUAUAUAGGAAGAUAAUGACGGUACUAUAUGAAUAAGCACCGGCUAACUCCGUGCCAGCCGCCGCCGUAA
rnacentral:rRNA from 1 species